rnacentral:rRNA from 1 species
UACGUAGGGUGCAAGCGUUAAUCGGAAUUACUGGGCGUAAAGCGUGCGCAGGCGGUUAUGUAAGACAGGUGUGAAAUCCCUCGGCUUAACCGAGGAACUGCCCUCCAAACUGCUUUGCUUGAGGCCGGGAGAGGUGAGUGGAAUUCCCAGUGUAGCGGUGAAAUGCGAAGAUAUUGGGAGGAACACCAGUGGCGAAGGCGGCUCACUGGACCGGUUCUGACGCUGAUGCGCGAAAGCGUGGGGAGCAAACGGG